rnacentral:rRNA from 1 species
GGCACUUUUUAAUCCAUAUCCACCUUGUGUGCAAUGUCAGUUGUUCUCUUUUUUGAGAAUGACCUAACAUCAACUUAAAUUUUAACUCUUUGUCUGAAAAAUAUUAUGAAUAAAAUAAUUCAAAAUACAACUUUCAACAACGGAUCUCUUGGCUCUCGCAUCGAUGAAGAACGCAGCGAAAUGCGAUACGUAAUGUGAAUUGCAGAAUUCAGUGAAUCAUCGAAUCUUUGAACGCAUAUUGCGCUCUUUGGUAUUCCGAAGAGCAUGCUUGUUUGAGUAUCAGUAAACACCUCAAAGACUUCAAUUUGUUUUGAAUGGCUUUGGACUUGAGCAAUCCCAACACCAGUCUUUACGAUCGGUGGAGGGUUGCUUGAAAUGCAGGUGCAGCUGGACAUUCUCCUGAGCUAAAAGCAUAUUUAUUUAGUCCCGUCAAACGGAUUAUUACUUUUGCUGCAGCUAACAUAAAGGGAGUUUGACCGUAUUGGCUGACUGAUGCAGGAUUUCACAAGGGUCGGCAACGAUUCUUGUAAAACUCGAUCUCAAAUCAAGUAAGACUACCCGCUGAACUUAAGCAUAUCAAUAAGCGGAGGA